GAUGAACGCUGGCGGCGUGCCUAAUACAUGCAAGUCGAGCGAACGGACGAGAAGCUUGCUUCUCUGAUGUUAGCGGCGGACGGGUGAGUAACACGUGGAUAACCUACCUAUAAGACUGGGAUAACUUCGGGAAACCGGAGCUAAUACCGGAUGAUAUUUUGAACCGCAUGGUUCAAAAGUGAAAGACGGUCUUGCUGUCACUUAUAGAUGGAUCCGCGCUGCAUUAGCUAGUUGGUAAGGUAACGGCUUACCAAGGCAACGAUGCAUAGCCGACCUGAGAGGGUGGUCGGCCACACUGGAACUGAGACACGGUCCAGACUCCUACGGGAGGCAGCAGUAGGGAAUCUUCCGCAAUGGGCGAAAGCCUGACGGAGCAACGCCGCGUGAGUGAUGAAGGUCUUCGGAUCGUAAAACUCUGUUAUGAGGGAAGAACAUAUGUGUAAGUAACUGUGCACAUCUUGACGGUACCUAAUCAGAAAGCCACGGCUAACUACGUG
rnacentral:rRNA from 1 species